CAAAGCUAACGAGAGUUCUUUUGCCUAAUAGCUGCCACAUUAGAAAAGUGUUUCACUGAACUAGAAGAAGGAAAAUAAAAUAAAAUCUUGGACAAAAAGGAUGGUAGAGAACAGAGAUGGUGCAGCAUUUGCCGGCAUAAGGAUCGGCAGGAGUGGCUGAGACACAGAGCGUGUUGUGUGCCAUGUGUGGAUGUGCACCAAGAGAGAUGAAGCCAUAUCUUCUACAACUCUUCAGUUUUUGAAAUUCAGAAGUUUCAAGAUUACGUUGACUGAAGUAGAUCAUAUUUGGCAAAGCUGUAGGUGACAGGGAAAGUUAAUCAACUGGAAGGAAAUGGAAGGGAAGAAUGUGGUCUACCUCUUCUCUCUCUACUUGAAAUUCAAGCAAGACCUUGGAGAAUACAGGUGGAGCUGACGGCGUCUUGCUCUGUCGCCCAGACUGGAGUGCAGUGGCACGAUCUCGGC
rnacentral:lncRNA from 10 species